CCUACGGGAGGCAGCAGUGGGGAAUAUUGCACAAUGGGGGAAACCCUGAUGCAGCAACGCCGCGUGAGUGAAGAAGUAUUUCGGUAUGUAAAGCUCUAUCAGCAGGGAAGAAAAUGACAGUACCUGACUAAGAAGCCCCGGCUAACUACGUGCCAGCAGCCGCGGUAAUACGGAGGGGGCAAGCGUUAUCCGGAUUUACUGGGUGUAAAGGGAGCGUAGACGGCUGCGCAAGUCAGAAGGGAAAGCCCGGGGCUCAACCGCGGGACUGCUUGUGAAACUGGGUAGCUAGAGUGGAGGAGAGGGUAGGAGAAUUGCUAGUGUAGCGGUGAAAAGCG
rnacentral:rRNA from 1 species